AUUGAACGCUGGCGGCAUGCCUUACACAUGCAAGUCGAACGGCAGCGGGCCUUCGGGUGCCGGCGAGUGGCGAACGGGUGAGUAAUGCAUCGGAACGUGCCAUUGAGUGGGGGAUAACGUAGCAAAAGUUACGCUAAUACCGCAUAUUCUGUGAGCAGGAAAGCAGGGGAUCGCAAGACCUUGCGUUCUGGGAGCGGCCGAUGUCGGAUUAGCUAGUUGGUGGGGUAAAAGCCUACCAAGGCGACGAUCCGUAGCGGGUCUGAGAGGAUGAUCCGCCACACUGGGACUGAGACACGGCCCAGACUCCUACGGGAGGCAGCAGUGGGGAAUUUUUGGACAAUGGGCGGAAGCCUGAUCCAGCCAUGCCGCGUGAGUGAAGAAGGCC
rnacentral:rRNA from 1 species